UAACCCUAACUUUUCCAUCUUCUCUUCCGCUUCCUCCGACAGCCGUCACCACCUCAUGCUUCACCACCAUUUUCUUUUGAUGAUCAUCUCCUGAUUCAGUGAUACUGAGAAGAACCAUUUAGUUUAUAUGCGUUUUAGAUUCUUUUUUCUUGGCUCUGUAUUAAGAAAAUUUUGAUUGAUUGAUGAAGGUACUGACAAUUUUAAUUGUUUAAUGAAGGUGUUACUGCUGAUAGCGGAGAAUGGAGAUUAUGAUGUAGCUAUUCGUGAUUGUUGAGGACUCAUUAUUUGAGAUCGAAGAUCAAUAAAGUCCAAGCAAUCUUCUGAAGAGGACAUUCAAAUAAAGGGCUAGAUCUGUUGAUGCACAUGAGGUUGUGCUGUUUUUCUACCUGGUAGAAUUGGUUAGUAUCCACUUCAGUGGUCCCCCUGAAUGAAUUCCCAAAAUUUUCUCAAUAUAUAAUUCAGGAGCAAUGUAGUGAAAGAAAAUCCAUCCCGAAAAUGGAGUUGUCGCAUCAAGAUCGUAUCUCAAUUUCCCAGAAAUUAAUGUUGGUUGUUGGUCAUGAUAAAACACUUUGUUAAUCAAAUAGAUUAUCAUGGUGGAGGGCUUGUAGAAGUUUUUUGGUCAGAUACUAAUUAUCUUUUAUGGGAUAAGCCUUAUGUCAGGACUAAAAAAUGGCACGCUUGAUUUAUGGUAACAAAUUAAAAAAUUUAAUACAUCUAGAGCAGUGGCACCAGGACUUCACAAUGCAUCUUUCUUCAUUAUUUAUAUCAGCGGCGGUGGUGGUCGAGGUGGUUAUGGUGAUACUGGGGACAUCAUGCUACAAACAACAUCAAAGAUGGAGGAUGUGGGUAGGAAAGACAUCAACAACAGGGAUGCCCUUUGCAGUGUGUACUAUAGAAUCUGUAUACACUUUGCUGCCAAGCUCAUAUACUAAGAAGCAACUGUGCAAACAUUGAUAUAGAAGGUCACGAAAAUAUCCAUGUAGUCACAAAAUGUUGAAUUCAGUUACUUUGAAUUGCAACACUUAAUUGAAAGAGCUUAAUGAGUUAUGUAGCAUUCUUGAUGCCAAUACCUUUGUAUUUUUGAAAGAGAAGAUUAUAUUGAAAAGGGGGGAAAAUAGAGUAACAAUUUACAGAGAAAGGAGAAUCAAAAACUUACGAUCA